CUGGGUCAGCGAGGGGACAGCAGUGGACACUGUCUGCCUUCAUUUCAGCAAGUCUUUUGACACUGUCACCCAUAACAUCCUCAUCAGUACGUCAAGCAAGUGUGGGACAGAUGAGUGGACAGAGACGUGGACUGAGAACUGACGAGCUCAGAGAGCUGUGACUGGCAGCAGAGUCUGGCUGGUGGCCCAUAGCUAGCAGUGUUUCCCAGGGGUCAGUACUGGGUCAGUCUGGUUCUACAUCUUCAUCAAUGACCUGGAUGAAGAGGAGGGACAUUUAUGAUUCUCACUAAGGUAUUUGCCAUAAGAACGCAUCUCAGAAGAAAAGACGCCAGUCAUUUUGGGAAUAAUGAGAAUGCUUCACCACGCAGACACAUUUUCAAAAAACUGCUGGAAAAAAAGAGAAAGAAAAGCACACAGUUUGCAUGCCAUUCUGGAUGCUCUCUGUUGUUGGUAAUCAGCCUGCUCAGUAGGCAGAGCUCAGAUGACAUGGACAAUCCCCACUGAACCAAGCAGAAAACCCAGAAGUUGUUCCACUCCACAAAGAAGGGUAAAUAAGCUCUCCCACUUUCACUGAGGACAAACAGAUGCAGAAUUCUGAACACAAAUAUUUGCCACAAAAAUACUCUAAUGUUUCAGUCCAUUAACCAAUCUGCUGUGGCAGCUGGUGAACAGUCAUCUUUUUAAUUAGCCUCCCUUACUGAUUAAUUAGUCUCAGAGCACUGAGCAGUGGAACCCUGCACGAUGCCAUUGAGACAAAAGAUACUCCUCUUCCUGGUCCUAGCUUCAUAUCCUUUGAUGUAGCUGCAAAUAAUAAACUUGGUUAAUUUUCUACUCAAA